rnacentral:misc_RNA from 1 species
UCCGAGUUGACCCCGGCAGUCUCCCAUGAGUCCCCGGCAUAACCCGCUGGCAACAUAGGACAAGGGUUGCGCUCGUUGCGGGACUUAACCCAACAUCUCACGACACGAGCUGACGACAGCCAUGCACCACCUGUGCACAGGCCCCGAAGGGCUGCCGUAUUUCUACGACAUUCCUGUGCAUGUCAAGCCCAGGUAAGGUUCUUCGCGUUGCGUCGAAUUAAACCACAUGCUCCGCUGCUUGUGCGGGCCCCCGUCAAUUCCUUUGAGUUUCAACCUUGCGGUCGUACUUCCCAGGUGGUAAACUUAACGGUUUCCCUUGGACACCAACUGUGUAUCGCUGAUGUCGAGUUUACAUCGUUUAGGGCGUGGACUAC